rnacentral:rRNA from 1 species
AAUUGCGUUUCAUAACGAUUUAAAACACUGUGUUUUAACGUUUGCUGUUCACCUGACUACGGUCAUGGUUUGAACGCACGUAGCAUGGUUAAAAACAAUCGGAAAGCAACGAACGUGACCGCAACCUCUUGUUGCCUUUAUUUUUAAAGCAUAUUCUCUGAUUAUUAUCUUCGGGUAGUAGUUACGCUGAUUAUGUUGAAAAAGGCUUUAAAACUAGAGGGACCGCUGUUCUAUUUUCUUUAAACCAGAGGAAGAUUGCGGCAAUAACAGGUCUGUGAUGCCCUCAGAUGUUCCGGGCUGCUCACGUGCUACAAUGAUUGUUGCAGUGAGCAUCUAUUUUCAAACGCUAUCGUUGUGGAUUUUUGUAGUUGUAAUUUGGUUUCGGCUGGGUUAUAAUUGCAAUUUAUUCGCGUAACGAUUUAGCUAAACCUUCUUCGAAAGCAAGUAGGUAAUCAAUUGGAAGUAACGAUUUCCUUUUUUUGGAAAGUACRACUUAUUGGCUCAAUACGCUAUGCGAGUUCAUUUUYUUCGGAAGGUGUUCUUUUGUYGUAGUUGUUUGGGUAUCUGUACUAAAACACUUUAUUUCAAGGUGGGGACAGACCAUUGUUAAUUGUUGGUCUCGUUUUAACUAGGAAUGCCUUGUACGGGUUGGUUCAUCAAACCACCCGGAAUACGUCCCUGCCCUUUGUACACSCCGCCCGUCGCUCUUACCGAUGGACUUCUYUGUGAGGUUGAGGGACUGGGAUUUCGAUCCUACGGAAACUUAAUCGAAC